AUUGAACGCUGGCGGCAGGCCUAACACAUGCAAGUCGAACGAGUGGCGGACGGGUGAGUAAUGUCUGGGAAACUGCCCGAUGGAGGGGGAUAACUCCUGGACACGGUCGCUAAUACCGCAUACCAUCGGUUGUGCCCAGAUGGGAUUAGCUAGUAGGUGGGGUAACGGCGCACCUAGGCGCCGAUCCCUAGCUGGUCUGAGAGGAUGACGAGCAAGCUGGGAACGGAGAAGCGGUCCAGAUUCGUACGGGAGGCGGCAGUGGGGAAUAUGGGACAAGGGGCGCAAGCCUGAGGCAGACAUGCCGCGUGUAUGAAGAGGGCCGUGGGGUUGUAAAGUACGUUCAGCGAGGAGGAGUUACUCGCAGAAGAAGCACCGGCGAACUCCGUGCCAGCAGCGGCGGUAAUUC
rnacentral:rRNA from 1 species